rnacentral:rRNA from 1 species
AGACUGGUGACCGUAGAAGUUUGAUUCUGGCUCAGAUUGAACGCUGGCGGCAGGCCUAACACAUGCAAGUCGAGCGGUAACAGGGGAAGCUUGCUUCUCGCUGACGAGCGGCGGACGGGUGAGUAAUGUAUGGGGAUCUGCCCGAUAGAGGGGGAUAACUACUGGAAACGGUGGCUAAUACCGCAUAAUCUCUCAGGAGCAAAGCAGGGGAACUUCGGUCCUUGCGCUAUCGGAUGAACCCAUAUGGGAUUAGCUAGUAGGUGGGGUAAUGGCUCACCUGGCGACGAUCCCUAGCUGGUCUGAGAGGAUGAUCAGCCACACUGGGACUGAGACACGGCCCAGACUCCUCGGGAGGCAGCAGUGGGGAAUAUUGCACAAUGGGCGCAAGCCUGAUGCAGCCAUGCCGCGUGUAUGAAGAAGGCCCUAGGGUUGUAAAGUACUUUCAGUCGGGAGGAAGGCGUUGAUGCUAAUAUCAUCAACGAUUGACUUACCGACAGAAGAAGCACCGGCUAACUCCGUGCCAGCAGCCGCGGUAAUACGGAGGGUGCAAGCGUUAAUCGGAAUUACUGGGCGUAAAGCGCACGCAGGCGGUUGAUUAAGUUAGAUGUGAAAUCCCCGGGCUUAACUGGGAAUGGCAUCUAAGACUGGUCAGCUAGAGUCUUGUAGAGGGGGGUAGAAUUCCAUGUGUAGCGGUGAAUGCGUAGAGAUGUGGAGGAAUACCGGUGGCGAAGGCGGCCCCCUGGACAAAGACUGACGCUCAGGUGCGAAAGCGUGGGGAGCAAACAGGAUUAGAUACCCUGGUAGUCCACGCUGUAAACGAUGUCGAUUUGAAGGUUGUUCCCUUGAGGCAGUGGCUUUCGGAGCUAACGCGUUAAAU